rnacentral:rRNA from 1 species
UUUCCCUCAGGAUAGCUGGCACUCGCUUGAGCGAGUCUCAUCUGGUAAAGCGAAUGAUUAGAGGCCUUGGGGCCGAAACGACCUCAACCUAUUCUCAAACUUUAAAUGGGUGAGAUCUCUGGCUUGCUUGAACGUUGAAGCCACGAGAGCGCNUAUANUGCAAAAUGGAUCAGAGUGCCAAGUGGGCCAAUUUUGGUAAGCAGAACUGGCGCUGUGGGA